rnacentral:rRNA from 1 species
GUUGGGUAGGGGAGCGUUCUGUAAGCCUGUGAAGGUGGCCUGUGAGGGUUGCUGGAGGUAUCAGAAGUGCGAAUGCUGACAUAAGUAACGAUAAAGCGGGUGAAAAGCCCGCUCGCCGGAAGACCAAGGGUUCCUGUCCAACGUUAAUCGGGGCAGGGUGAGUCGACCCCUAAGGCGAGGCCGAAAGGCGUAGUCGAUGGGAAACGGGUUAAUAUUCCCGUACUUGGUGUUACUGCGAAGGGGGGACGGAGAAGGCUAUGUUGGCCGGGCGACGGUUGUCCCGGUUUAAGCGUGUAGGUGUGUGUUCCAGGUAAAUCCGGUUCACUUUAACACUGAGGCGUGACGACGAGGCACUACGGUGCUGAAGCAACAAAUGCCCUGCUUCCAGGAAAAGCCUCUAAGCAUCAGGUAACAUCAAAUCGUACCCCAAACCGACACAGGUGGUCAGGUAGAGAAUACCAAGGCGCUUGAGAGAACUCGGGUGAAGGAACUAGGCAAAAUGGUGCCGUAACUUCGGGAGAAGGCACGCUGACACGUAGGUGAAGUGAUUUACUCAUGGAGCUGAAGUCAGUCGAAGAUACCAGCUGGCUGCAACUGUUUAUUAAAAACACAGCACUGUGCAAACACGAAAGUGGACGUAUACGGUGUGACGCCUGCCCGGUGCCGGAAGGUUAAUUGAUGGGGUCAGCGCAAGCGAAGCUCCUGAUCGAAGCCCCGGUAAACGGCGGCCGUAACUAUAACGGUCCUAAGGUAGCGAAAUUCCUUGUCGGGUAAGUUCCGACCUGCACGAAUGGCGUAAUGAUGGCCAGGCUGUCUCCACCCGAGACUCAGUGAAAUUGAACUCGCUGUGAAGAUGCAGUGUACCCGCGGCAAGACGGAAAGACCCCGUGAACCUUUACUAUAGCUUGACACUGAACAUUGAGCCUUGAUGUGUAGGAUAGGUGGGAGGCUUUGAAGUGUGGACGCCAGUCUGCAUGGAGCCGACCUUGAAAUACCACCCUUUAAUGUUUGAUGUUCUAACGUGGACCCGUGAUCCGGGUUGCGGACAGUGUCUGGUGGGUAGUUUGACUGGGGCGGUCUCCUCCUAAAGAGUAACGGAGGAGCACGAAGGUUGGCUAAUCCUGGUCGGACAUCAGGAGGUUAGUGCAAUGGCAUAAGCCAGCUUGACUGCGAGCGUGACGGCGCGAGCAGGUGCGAAAGCAGGUCAUAGUGAUCCGGUGGUUCUGAAUGGAAGGGCCAUCGCUCAACGGAUAAAAGGUACUCCGGGGAUAACAGGCUGAUACCGCCCAAGAGUUCAUAUCGACGGCGGUGUUUGGCACCUCGAUGUCGGCUCAUCACAUCCUGGGGCUGAAGUAGGUCCCAAGGGUAUGGCUGUUCGCCAUUUAAAGUGGUACGCGAGCUGGGUUUAGAACGUCGUGAGACAGUUCGGUCCCUAUCUGCCGUGGGCGCUGGAGAACUGAGGGGGGCUGCUCCUAGUACGAGAGGACCGGAGUGGACGCAUCACUGGUGUUCGGGUUGUCAUGCCAAUGGCACUGCCCGGUAGCUAAAUGCGGAAGAGAUAAGUGCUGAAAGCAUCUAAGCACGAAACUUGCCCCGAGAUGAGUUCUCCCUGAGACUUUAGGUCUCCUGAAGGAACGUUGAAGACGACGACGUUGAUAGGCCGGGUGUGUAAGCGCAGCGAUGCGUUGAGCUAACCGGUACUAAUGAACCGUGAGGCUUAACCUUACAACGCCGAAG